GAUUCUGAGAAAUGGGCAGCAGGCCCAAGGAGCCACGUGAGACUCAAGCUCCAGGACUGUACCCUCCUAAAAGGUCAGAACAUGUCUGACACGGGUGGACCUACCUGCGGCCAGAUGGUGAGAAGAAAAAGAAGGACCUCCAAGAGGAAACUCAUCAAGAAGGAGGAGUAUGGACCAGGCAACUGCACAAAGACUGGCUCCAUCCAUACGGCAGAGGGCCUGGUGGUUGGCGGCUCCAGACAUCUGCUUAUAAUGUGGCCACCGGAGAAGGAGACUUCAAAAACCCCAGGCAUAGGUCUAGUCAACUACAAAUUGGCACUUGCCAAGGGCAUUUGCCAUCUGCCUCUUCCAGAGAUUGAGCUCUGUUCUGCUGCAGCUGUUGACCUUCGAUACACCCUGAAGGGAGUUCAGCGUGGAGACUGAGACACUCUGAGCGAAGAAAACUGGUGGAACAGGUCUUUAGAUAGUUAGAUAUUUUCAGAAACUGAUUUCUUGAUCCCGAUCCUUGCAUUUCCCCCCAUCCAGAAAAGCACUAAAUCCCUUCAUGGUGACACCAGUUCCUUGUGACUACCAGAAAACUUUUUGUUAAGAUGAGUGUUUGAUUGUGUGAACUCCCCCUUCACCAA